AUGAAAGGAUGUAAGUCAUCAUCUACACCUUUGUCCACCUAUGAGAAAAUGUCUCUUCAUGAUGGAGAGAUUCUUGGAGCAGAGGACUCCACCAGGUACAAAAGUAUUGUAGGAACAUUACAAUACUUGACAUUAACUAGACUAGAUAUCUCAUACUCAGUAAAUAAAGUAUGCCAGUUCUUACAUGCUCCCACUAGUGUACAUUUGACAACAGUAAAGAGGAUACUUAGAUAUCUUCAAGGAACAAAGAGUCAUGGACUCAGACUUGGAAGGUCAAAUUCAAUGCUUGUAAGUGCCUUUUCAGAUGUAGAUUGGGCAAGUUGUCCUAAUGAUAGAAGAUCAACAUGA
rnacentral:rRNA from 1 species